UACGGGAGGCAGCAGUGGGGAAUAUUGCACAAUGGGCGCAAGCCUGAUGCAGCCAUGCCGCGUGUAUGAAAAAGGCCUUCGGGUUGUAAAGUACUUUCAGUCGUGAGGAAGGUGUUAAGGUUAAUAACCUUAGCAAUUGACGUUAGCGACAGAAGAAGCACCGGCUAACUCCGUGCCAGCAGCCGCGGUAAUACGGAGGGUGCGAGCGUUAAUCGGAAUUACUGGGCGUAAAGGGCACGCAGGCGGUUAAUUAAGUUGGAUGUGAAAUCCCCGGGCUUAACCUGGGAAUGGCAUUCAAGACUGGUUAGCUAGAGUCUUGUAGAGGGGGUAGAAUUCCAUGUGUAGCGGUGAAAUGCGUAGAGAUGUGGAGGAAUACCGGUGGCGAAGGGCGGCCCCUGGGACAAAGACUGACGCUCAUGUGCGAAAGCGUGGGGAGCAAAACAGGGAUUAAGAUACC
rnacentral:rRNA from 1 species